UACGUAGGGGGCAAGCGUUGUCCGGAAUCAUUGGGCGUAAAGAGCGUGUAGGCGGCUCGGUAAGUCCGCUGUGAAAGUCCAGGGCUCAACCCUGGAAUGCCGGUGGAAACUGUCGAGCUAGAGUCCGGAAGAGGCGAGUGGAAUUCCUGGUGUAGCGGUGAAAUGCGCAGAUAUCAGGAGGAACACCAAUGGCGAAAGGCAGCUCGCUGGGACGGUACUGACGCUGAGACGCGAAAGCGUGGGGAGCAAACAGG
rnacentral:rRNA from 1 species